rfam:Oryza brachyantha chromosome 5, whole genome shotgun sequence.
CAGCAUGGCGAAAACCUGAAAGUGAUCCAGAUUGACCAGAGAAGAUUGGUGUCAAUGGCCUUCCUGUUGAGACUGGAA